GACGAACGCUGGCGGCGCGCCUAACACAUGCCAGUCGAACGGAGUCAAGAGGAGCUUGCUUUUCUUGACUUAGUGGCGAACGGGUGAGUAACGCGUGAGUAACCUGCCCUGGAGUGGGGGACAACAGUUGGAAACGACUGCUAAUACCGCAUAAGCCCACGGAUCCGCAUGGAUCUGCGGGAAAAGGAUUUAUUCGCUUCAGGAUGGACUCGCGUCCAAUUAGCUAGUUGGUGAGGUAACGGCCCACCAAGGCGACGAUUGGUAGCCGGACUGAGAGGUUGAACGGCCACAUUGGGACUGAGACACGGCCCAGACUCCUACGGGAGGCAGCAGUGGGGGAUAUUGCACAAUGGGGGAAACCCUGAUGCAGCGACGCCGCGUGGAGGAAGAAGGUUUUCGGAUUGUAAACUCCUGUCGUGAGGGACGAUAAUGACGGUACCUAACAAGGAAGCACCGGCUAACUACGUG
rnacentral:rRNA from 1 species